rnacentral:rRNA from 1 species
CUACGGGGGGCUCCAGUAGGGAAUAUUGGACAAUGGGCGAAAGCCUGAUCCAGCAACACCGCGUGCACGAUGACGGCCUUCGGGUUGUAAAGUGCUUUUAGAGGAGAUGAGAAAGGACAGUAUCCUCUGAAUAAGCCUCGGCGAACUACGUGCCAGCAGCCGCGGUAAAACGUAGGAGGCAAGCGUUAUCCGGAUUUAUUGGGCGUAAAGCGCGUGCAGGCGGUCUAGCAAGUUGGAUGUGAAAGCUCCCGGCUCAACUGGGAGAGGUCGUUCAAUACUGUUAGACUAGAGAAUAGGAGAGGGAGGUGGAAUUCCGGGUGUAGUGGUGAAAUGCGUAGAUAUCCGGAGGAACACCAGUGGCGAAAGCGGCCUCCUGGACUAUUUCUGACGCUAAGACGCGAAAGCUAGGGUAGCAAACGGGAUUAGAUACCCCUGUAGUC